UACGUAGGCAGCAAGCGUUGUUCGGAGUUACUGGGCGUAAAGGGUGCGUAGGUGGCUCUAUAAGUAUGAUGUGAAAUCUCCCGGCUUAACUGGGAGGGUGCGCCGUAGACUGUGGGGCUAGAGUGUGGGAGAGGAAAGUGGAAUUCCUGGUGUAGCGGUGAAAUGCGUAGAUAUCAGGAGGAACACCGGUGGUGUAAACGGCUUUCUGGACCAUAGCUGGACGCUGAGACACGAAAGCGUGGGUAGCAAACAGG
rnacentral:rRNA from 1 species